CUAUCUAUAUAGUGUAUUUGACGUUUAAAAUAAAUCUUAUUAUUUGAUUUGUUUUUCGAAUACGAUCGUAGAAUUGAACUGAGAUAAUUUUGUGUUGAUAUAAAACUGUGGAUCGUGACAUAAAUUUUUAGUUCGUCUAAUGUGUUCAUUUUUGUAUUACUAGUUUAUUUAGCAUUGUACUCCAAUAUUUGCAUAGGUUGCUUAAUAGUUUACUAAAAAUGUUCCGUGAUCGAAUUGAAAAACUUAGUCAUCUUAUUGAGCUCUAUCACAGAAGUUCUACUACAGUUGAUGAAGUGAAAGAAAAACUACAUGAACCCAACUUUAAAGAAAAAGCAGAAACUUUGCUCAUUGAAAUUGAUACUUUCUCAAUUGUUAUAAUAAAUCACACAAUAAAAAACCAACAGCUUGAUUUGCAAUUUUCUAACAAACUUUAUGAAUUCAAUCCAAAAUUAUUCUUGAAAAUUUUUAAUACUGCCAUUGAAAAAUUCUAUUCACAAAUAGGCUUCACUAAAAUACUUCGAAUAGUUGAUGGAGUUACGUAUUUUGCUCAAGCCAUAGAAGGCUACAAAACGAUUUAUGAUCAAAUUAAAGACAAUUUAUCAGAUAUCCCCGAAAAAUCGUAUACACUACGUGAAAAACUUGAGAAAAUGACAUUGAUGAAAGAUUUUCCGAAACUAACAGAAACUGAAAGAUGUUGCAUAAAUGAUAUGAUGGAAAGCUUAGAACCUUAUGCAAUACUUCCGAAGCCAGAUAAAAUAGUACGAAGUGGUAAUUGGGCUGAACACUAUUUUCAUUUGGGAUGUGUUGAAAAAGAAUUUAUUGAUGAAAAAAACAAAUUUUAUUCUUUGUUCCGUACUGAAAACUGAAAAUAAAACUUAUAUUCUCAAAAUUU